CCUACGGGAGGCUGCAGUGGGGAAUCUUGCGCAAUGGGCGAAAGCCUGACGCAGCCAUGCCGCGUGAAUGAUGAAGGUCUUAGGAUUGUAAAAUUCUUUCACCGGGGACGAUAAUGACGGUACCCGGAGAAGAAGCCCCGGCUAACUUCGUGCCAGCAGCCGCGGUAAUACGAAGGGGGCUAGCGUUGCUCGGAAUUACUGGGCGUAAAGGGCGCGUAGGCGGACAUUUAAGUCAGGGGUGAAAUCCCAGAGCUAAACUCUGGAACUGCCUUUGAUACUGGGUGUCUUGAGUGUGGGAGAGGUAUGUGGAGCUCAGAGUGAGGAGGAGAACUUCGUAGGUAUUCGGAAGGACAACAGUGGCGAAGGCGACAUGCUGGCUCAUUACUGACGCUGGGGAGCGAAAGCGUGGGGAGCAGACAGGAUUAGAUACCCCGGUAGUC
rnacentral:rRNA from 1 species